rnacentral:rRNA from 1 species
AUCAACUUUCGAUGGUAGGAUAGAGGCCUACCAUGGUGGUAACGGGUAACGGGGUGUUAGGGCACGACACCGGAGAGGGAGCCUGAGAAACGGCUACCACAUCCAAGGAUGGCAGCAGGCGCGCAAAUUACCCAAUCCCGACACGGGGAGGUAGUGACAAUAAAUAACAAUACGGGGUCCUUUGGGUCUCGUAAUUGGAAUGAGUACAAUUUAAAUCUCUUAACGAGGAACAAUUGGAGGGCAAGUCUGGUGCCAGCAGCCGCGGUAAUUCCAGCUCCAAUAGCGUAUAUUAAAGUUGUUGCAGUUAAAAAGCUCGUAGUUGAAUUUCGGGGUCGGUAGGUUGGUCAUGCCAUCGGUAUGCACUGGUCUCACCGAUUCCUCCCUCUUGUAGAAGCGUAAUGCCAUUAAUUUGGUGUUGCGGGGAAACAGGACUGUUACUUUGAAAAAAUUAGAGUGUUUAAAGCAGGCUAACGCCYGAAUACAUUAGCAUGGAAUAAUGAAAUAGGACGUCGAUCCUAUUUUGUUGGUUUCUAGGGUUGACGUAAUGAUUAAUAGGGAUAGUUGGGGGCAUUAGUAUUCAAUUGUCAGAGGUGAAAUUCUUGGAUUUAUUGAAGACUAACUACUGCGAAAGCAUUUGCCAAGGAUGUUUUCAUUAAUCAAGAACGAAAGUUAGGGGAUCGAAGACGAUCAGAUACCGUCGUAGUCUUAACCAUAAACUAUGCCGACUAGGGAUCGGAUGAUGUUAAUUUUUUAAUGACUCAUUCGGCGCCUUACGGGAAACCAAAGUGUUUGGGUUC